rnacentral:rRNA from 1 species
GUGGGGAAUAUUGGACAAUGGGCGAAAGCCUGAUCCAGCAAUGCCGCGUGAGUGAUGAAGGCCCUAGGGUUGUAAAGCUCUUUUACCAGGGAUGAUAAUGACAGUACCUGGAGAAUAAGCUCCGGCUAACUCCGUGCCAGCAGCCGCGGUAAUACGGAGGGAGCUAGCGUUGUUCGGAAUUACUGGGCGUAAAGCGCGCGUAGGCGGUUUUUUAAGUCAGAGGUGAAAGCCCGGGGCUCAACCCCGGAAUUGCCUUUGAAACUGGAAAACUUGAAUCUUGGAGAGGUCAGUGGAAUUCCGAGUGUAGAGGUGAAAUUCGUAGAUAUUCGGAAGAACACCAGUGGCGAAGGCGACCACCUGGACUGAUACUGACACUGAGGUGCGAAAGCGUGGGGAGCAAACAGGAUUAGAACCCGGGUAGUCC